rnacentral:tRNA from 1 species
GGUUGUAGUUUAGUUGGUUAGAACGCCUGCCUGUCACGCAGGAGGUCGAGGGUUCGAGUCCCUUCAACC